rnacentral:rRNA from 1 species
AUUGAACGCUGGCGGCAGGCCUAACACAUGCAAGUCGAGCGGAUGAAGGGAGCUUGCUCCUGGAUUCAGCGGCGGACGGGUGAGUAAUGCCUAGGAAUCUGCCUGGUAGUGGGGGAUAACGUCCGGAAACGGGCGCUAAUACCGCAUACGUCCUGAGGGUGAAAGUGGGGGAUCUUCGGACCUCACGCUAUCAGAUGAGCCUAGGUCGGAUUAGCUAGUUGGUGGGGUAAAGGCCUACCAAGGCGACGAUCCGUAACUGGUCUGAGAGGAUGAUCAGUCACACUGGAACUGAGACACGGUCCAGACUCCUACGGGAGGCAGCAGUGGGGAAUAUUGGACAAUGGGCGAAAGCCUGAUACAGCCAUGCCGCGUGUGUGAAGAAGGUCUUCGGAUUGUAAAGCACUUUAAGUUGGGAGGAAGGGCAGUAAGUUAAUACCUUGCUGUUUUGACGUUACCAACAGAAGAAGCACCGGCUAACUUCGUG